GGUGUCGCGUCGGGUGUUCAGGAACCCUGCGAGCCGGUCGCCAAGCGCAGACUUCCCAGGCCGCCGUGGUCCUGUCAGCCCAGCGAUUUGGGAAGUCGUGGCCGGAGGAUGGCAGGUUGGAGGCCAGCCUCAGCAGCUUAGCGAGGCCCUGUCUUGAAAUGAAAAUAGAAGGGGCUGGGGUGCAGCCCGGAGUGGCGCCCCUGGGCUGGGCCCCUGCGCCUUGUAAACGGCCGGACUGUCUCGCUCCGUCGGCUCUGGGGAGUGGCGUGGCGCCCAGCCCGCGGUCGGCAGGGCCGCCCUGGGCCUUGGGAAGUGUUGGUCCCCGUCCCAUGGCCUGCCCGAGCUACCUGAGGCCCGGGCUCGUGGGUUUUUUUUUUUUCUUUAAGUAUUUUACUUUAUUUUGUGAGGUCAGGCAACGGGCGGUGACCAAAAGAGGCAGGUUUAAAAAAGGCCACUGAAGGAGACUUUAUGGAGACCCACUCCGGGGGGACCGCGGUCAGAUCGUCAGAAUUGACCGGACAAGAGUCUGAGCAGAAACCGUAGGGCCUCCACAGGGCUGGGAUUUUAUGGGGCCUUCAGCAGGAAAAGAGAUUUUUAGGGUCCCUUGUUCCACUGGGAACUGGCUGAACUCCAGGAUUGGCCAGGAGAUCCCGCUGAUCGACAGGUCAGCCAGGAGAUCCCGCUGAUCGACAGGUCAGCCAGGAGAUCCCGCUGAUCGACAGGCGUUUCCGUGGGCGCCUGCUUGACGUUUCUUCCUUUGUUUCUGAGUCCCCGCUGCCCACCUGACAGAUUCUAUCCCCAUCUUUGUGGCCUCUCUGUCUUUGGUAAGUGGAGGUGGACAUACAGAUAGAUGCGACUGCGCAUCUCUAUGCUGCUCCAUUGUUGGCGAUGUCCACUUGGAAGUUGGAACUUGGCAAUGUGGAAGAACUUACACCUUGGAAAUCGGGCAAAUGGUACAAAGCCAAGGCUGGAGUGCUAUUUUUGUUAAUUGUUAGUUAAAAGAAAGAAAAUGUGUGAGGCACUGGGUUCAAUCCUCAGCACAAAAGGAAUGCCUGUAAACCAACGAGAAAAAGGCAGGAGAUCCAGCAGAGAAAAGUGGAAAAGAUGAGGCAGUGCACAGAAGCAUGCCAGAUCCUGGAUUCAGGAAUCGGAUGAAUCUGAAUUAAAACAAGAUGUUGGGUUGGGAGGUGACUCAGUGGUGGAGCACUUGCCUAACAUACACAAGUCCCUGGGUUCAGUCCACAGCACUGUAAAGAGAGAAAGAAGAUGCCCAUUAUACCCAUCAGAUUAUACAAUUAAAAAGUCAUCAAUCUUAAAAACAAAAUACAUGAAUGUCCAAUUGUUCCAAUACCAUUUGUUGAGAAGACUAUCUCCACUGAACUGCUCUUGAACCUUAGCCAUCUAUUGUCCAUGCACGUGUGAGUUCAUUUCUGGAGGUUUCUCUCUUGUUAUAUUCAUCUAGCUUUAUGCCAAUAUCACAUUGUCUUUUUUAAAAAAUACUUUUAUUAUUUAUUUUCAUGUGGUGCUGAGGGUUUAACCAAGUGCCUCGAACAGGCUAGACAAGCGCUCUACCCCUGAGCCACAACCCCAAUGCCCCCACACUGUCUUGAUUAUGAAAACUUCAGACUAAGUCUUGAAAUCAGGCAGUGGUAGUUCUCCAAAUUUGUUCUUCAACAAAGUUGUUUUGGUAUUUUAGGUCCUCUGCAUUUCCAUAUAAACUUAGAAUUGUCUACCAAACACAACAAAAGCUCUUCUGGCAUUUUGGCUGGGAUUGUGUUGAAUCUGUGGAUCAGCAGGAAUGUAGGGAGUCUUGUGAAUGUGGUAUAUACGUUUAUUUUGGUUCCUUUAAAAUCUAUCAGUACCAUUUUGUAUUUUCUAUUGGAUCAGUCUUGCACAUCUUUUGUUUCUAAGGAUUUCACUUAGAUUGCAAAGGGUGUUUUAAAAUUUUAGCUUCUGAGUAUCUGUUGCUAGUUUACGGAAACAUGGUGGAUGUUUGUAUGUAGGGUUUUGCACCCUGCACCCUGCACCCUUACUAACCUCACAUGUUCUAGAAGUCUUACAGAGUCUGGGCCAGAGGCCUGACCAAGGAUCCCACAGAUCUGGUCUGGCCGCUCACGCCAAACCAAGCAGAAAAGGCAGUGGUUACGCACACAAAGGAGCUUUCAUCAGAACAGCUACAUUUAGGAGACGGGGACCUGUGUCCUUAGCCCUGUUGGUUUGGUUUGGUUUAGCAGUACUGAGGAUCAAACCCAGGGUGCUCUGCCUGUGAGCUGCAUUUCCAGCCCUUUUUAUUUUUUGAGACAGGGACUUGCAAGUUGCUGGUCGUCUUGAUCAGGUGAGUUCAGUGUGUCUCAGGAUUGGUGGUGGUGGUGGGGUCUUGUCUAAGAUUAGAAAGUUGCUAUUGCCUGGAGGCAGUCUUAACUCAUCAGAUUUUUGUCAUACCUGUUUCCUGGAAUCCCAGGUAGCUCAGAGGAAAUGGGGCGGAGGCAAAAUGGAGGUAGAGAGGCCAAGCCGUGUGUGUGUGUGUGUGUGUGUGUGUGUGUGUGUGUGUGUGUGUGUGUAUGAGUGUAUGACUCGCUGCAAGGGAUCAAAUCCAGGGGCAUGCUAUCACCUAGCCACAUACUCAUCAGCCCUUUUUAGAUUUUAUUUUGAGGCAGGGUCUCAUUAUGUUGCCCAGGCUGGCCUUGAAUCUGCUGUCCUGCUACCUCAGCUACCUGAAUAGCAGGGCUUACAGGUGUAGCCACCUCUCCUGGAACAAGGUCUUUAGGCCUGCCUUUAGCCACCCAUCAGACAUUUGCAGACCCAGGUGAAGCAUCAGAGCCCUGUCACAGGCUCUUUUUUGGUAGAUCCUGUAGUUUCCUGCGAAGAAGGAAAUCACCUGUGAAUGUGUUCUUGAGGCUUCAGGUGUGCAGAAGCCAGGACAGUGAGUGGCACCAGGCUUCUGCAAAAAGAAAAGCUUCUUUGGGCAGCUUUAUUUUUUAAGCUAAGUCUUGCCUACGUCCCAUGCGGGCGGUAGAGUGGGAGUGGGAGUUCUGCGUGGAAUGUGAACUGGCUGUGAAAUAAAGCUAAGAAAAGAGGGUGGUACAAGAGUAAUUUUGAAAAGUGAGGGCAGGAUGGCUCUAUGACCUUAGGGGUCCAGCUUCUACACUGGAAAUAGACCAAGUGAGCCACUUUUAGGGAACAGAAUGUUCUUCACCAAAUAAGGCAGGAGGUGGGCUGUCCAAACCCAGUGGGUUACUCCCAAUUCCAGAGCUACAGAGCUGUCCCAUUGGUAGAGCAGGGCACAGAUCUCACGCCUUGGGCAGUCUGCACACGGAAAUUCCAGGAUCAUUCCCAAGGGGAGACCCAAGUUCUCCAUGGCUCAGUACUGAGUAAAAGAAACUCAGGUGGCUUCACAGGUCAUGUACCACAGCUAAGGACCAAAGAAAAGCCAAAAAGCUUUUUUGUUCAAUGUUUUAGCUUUAAGGCUUAAUGGACUGGUAAGGAGGCCAGGGGCCUCCCUGUUGGAUGCUUAGUGAAGAAAUUGACAGGAAGUGGGGAAAGUUGAUGCAGUGCUGGCGUCUUUGGGGGAGUUAUGUUCUAUGCACAGGAUUUGGAGUUUGUCACAUCUUUUGAGUGGACACUGGCUGCAUAUGGUCAUUUCCACUCUUGAAAAGUCAGUUCUAUACCUUCACAUCAGUGAGAGACCUAGAGGCUUGUCCUGAAGUUCAUCCAAUGAUACUAGGGAUAAAAGCUAUAUCCCCAGCCCUGGCAUGACGGACUCCUCAUGGCAGCCUGUGCUUGCUGCCCACAUAGCUACCACUCUGCCACUUCACUGUUCCCCUACCCCUUCUCAGCAGGGACAGUGGGCUGGCUGCAGGGCUUGGUGGCCAGGGAGCCAUGUCAGUAAUGGUGGUGGAUACUCACGUCUUCGUAUAAAAGGUGGAUACCUAUACCCAGUGAGUGGUAGUGGGUGGAUACUUCUACCUGGUGAGUGGUAGCAGGGUGGACACCUCUAUCCAGUGAGUGGUAGGUAGUGGACACCUCCACCUGGUGAGUGGUACAUUGUAUAGUCUCUCUUUCCCUGUGAUCAUUAGUAUCAUUUUUUUAUAUAGUUUUGUCCCUUUUUAUUUAACCCUUUUUUUCUUCUUGGUAGUGGGGAUUCUACUUAGGGGUACCUCACUGAGUUAUAUUCCCAAUCCUUUAAAACAUUUUUUAAAAAUUUUAAAACUGGGGCUGGGGAUGUGGCUCAAGCGGUAGCGCGUUUGCCUAGCAUGCGUGCGGUGCUGGGUUCGAUCCUCAGCACCACAUACAAAUAAAAGAUGUUAUGUCCGCCAAAAACUAAAAAAUAAAUAUUAAAAAAUUCUUCCUCAAAAAAAAAAAAAACUUUAAAACUGGGUCUUGCUUAAGCUGCCAAGACUGGCUUCAAACCUGUGGUGCUGCUGCCUCAAUCUCCUGAAUCGCUCCACUCACCUCCAUGGGCCACUGUGCCCAGGUAAAUCUUCAUGUUUGAGUUUUUAAAAAAUGUUCUCUAUUUUUAUGUCCCAAGGCAAGUGUCACCCUAAUCCCUGCAUGCCUGCCUGCCUGCCUCUAGCUACCUCUACUCUCCCCCACCCCCAUUUCUUUGGGUUUUAUACUGGAGAUUGAAAACCAUGAGUGCUCUACUACUGAGCUACAUCCUUAGUCUUUGUAUUUUUAUGUGGAGACAGCAACUCAGUACAUUGUCCAGGCUGAUCUCAAACUUGUGCUCCUCCUGCACCAGCCUUCCAUGUAGCUGAGAAAUAGGUGUUGAGAGCCUCAGCCAAGUCGGGAUGGCGCCUGGCAUUUUGCCAGAAGGAGUGGUUGGGAGGUGACGCCAGCAAGCCAAUGGGAUGAUGAAACAUCUUUCUAGGAAAAUAUGACUAAACCAUUAUAUAACUUCACUGCUACAGGAGAAUCAUGGUAAAUAGUUUGCCAGUCAGUCCAGGAACCAGCUCACCUCAGAGCCUUCAUCUGGAUGCAUCUGUGACUUUUAUCACUGGCUGAGGGCUGGUCCCAUCACAGCAAGGUCCUGCACUGGAAGACAGACCAUCAACCACCCGAGCCCAGACUGAAGUCCAUAAAUUCCUCUCAGGCCGCCCACGUGGAGCAGAGGAUCCUCUGCCAAGAUGCAGUCCUCACUGCUACUGUCAGUUGGUAAACUCAUCUGUGCUCAUUGCACAAGUUUUUGCUGGGUUAUUGGCAGUGAAUGAUCCUGAAGGUUCCUGACAUCCUUUCGAGCCCCACUCAUGCUUCAGAACAAGUCUGCCCUUCAGGACCAGCACCCUCCUCUUGAUCCUUACACUUGGCUCCACAGCAUGGGCUGCUGUGAUGCUGUAGGGAGCCCGUCUGGUGAGCAUAUGCUCCUGCAUGCCCAGCGGAAACCUCUGUACAAAAGCUCUGAUGGUUUGAUCAGACCGUGAGUGCUUUUACUCUGGGACAUUGCCUUGCUGCUCUACCCUGAUCCUCGUCUUUUCAGGAAGAGGAUGGAUGGAUGAAUAGCAUGCAGGAAGCCAUCACUUGAGUGGCUCCAAGUGCUAAUGAGAUUAGAGGGUCUUGUAAACCGCC